AGUAACACGUAGGUGACCUACCCAAGAGGGGAUAACGGCCCGAAAGGGCUGCUAAUACCCCAUGUGAUUAGCGAUUCAUUUCGUUAAUGAAAGCUUCCGCAAGGAGUGUGCUUUGGGAGGGGCCUGCGGCGGAUUAGAUAGUUGGUGGGGUAAUGGCCUACCAAGUCGAUGAUCCGUAGCUAGUCUGAGAGGACGAUUAGCCACACUGGCACUGACACACGGGCCAG
rnacentral:rRNA from 1 species